UACAGAGGGGGCAAGCGUUAUUCGGAAUUAUUGGGCGUAAAGGGCGCGUAGGCGGCGAUUCAAGUGACGGGUGAAAUCCCUCGGCUUAACCGAGGAACUGCCUGUCAGACUGGGUUGCUUGAGACCGGGAGAGGCGAGUGGAAUUCCCAGUGUAGCGGUGAAAUGCGUAGAUAUGGGGAGGAACACCGGUGGCGAAGGCGGCCAUCUGGACGGAUACUGACGCUGAGACGCGAAAGCGUGGGUAGCAAACGAGG
rnacentral:rRNA from 1 species